UGGCGGCGUGCCAAUACAUGCAAGUCGAACGAACUCUGGUAUUGAUUGGUGCUUGCAUCAUGAUUUACAUUUGAGUGAGUGGCGAACUGGUGAGUAACACGUGGGAAACCUGCCCAGAAGCGGGGGAUAACACCUGGAAACAGAUGCUAAUACCGCAUAACAACUUGGACCGCAUGGUCCGAGCUUGAAAGAUGGCUUCGGCUAUCACUUUUGGAUGGUCCCGCGGCGUAUUAGCUAGAUGGUGGGGUAACGGCUCACCAUGGCAAUGAUACGUAGCCGACCUGAGAGGGUAAUCGGCCACAUUGGGACUGAGACACGGCCCAAACUCCUACGGGAGGCAGCAGUAGGGAAUCUUCCACAAUGGACGAAAGUCUGAUGGAGCAACGCCGCGUGAGUGAAGAAGGGUUUCGGCUCGUAAAACUCUGUUGUUAAAGAAGAACAUAUCUGAGAGUAACUGUUCAGGUAUUGACGGUAUUUAACCAGAAAGCCACGGCUAACUACGUGCCAGCAGCCGCGGUAAUACGUAGGUGGCAAGCGUUGUCCGGAUUUAUUGGGCGUAAAGCGAGCGCAGGCGGUUUUUUAAGUCUGAUGUGAAAGCCUUCGGCUCAACCGAAGAAGUGCAUCGGAAACUGGGAAACUUGAGUGCAGAAGAGGACAGUGGAACUCCAUGUGUAGCGGUGAAAUGCGUAGAUAUAUGGAAGAACACCAGUGGCGAAGGCGGCUGUCUGGUCUGUAACUGACGCUGAGGCUCGAAAGUAUGGGUAGCAAACAGGAUUAGAUACCCUGGUAGUCCAUACCGUAAACGAUGAAUGCUAAGUGUUGGAGGGUUUCCGCCCUUCAGUGCUGCAGCUAACGCAUUAAGCAUUCCGCCUGGGGAGUACGGCCGCAAGGCUGAAACUCAAAGGAAUUGACGGGGGCCCGCACAAGCGGUGGAGCAUGUGGUUUAAUUCGAAGCUACGCGAAGAACCUUACCAGGUCUUGACAUACUAUGCAAAUCUAAGAGAUUAGACGUUCCCUUCGGGGACAUGGAUACAGGUGGUGCAUGGUUGUCGUCAGCUCGUGUCGUGAGAUGUUGGGUUAAGUCCCGCAACGAGCGCAACCCUUAUUAUCAGUUGCCAGCAUUAAGUUGGGCACUCUGGUGAGACUGCCGGUGACAAACCGGAGGAAGGUGGGGAUGACGUCAAAUCAUCAUGCCCCUUAUGACCUGGGCUACACACGUGCUACAAUGGAUGGUACAACGAGUUGCGAACUCGCGAGAGUAAGCUAAUCUCUUAAAGCCAUUCUCAGUUCGGAUUGUAGGCUGCAACUCGCCUACAUGAAGUCGGAAUCGCUAGUAAUCGCGGAUCAGCAUGCCGCGGUGAAUACGUUCCCGGGCCUUGUACACACCGCCCGUCACACCAUGAGAGUUUGUAACACCCAAAGUCGGUGGGGUAACCUUUUAGGAACCAGCCGCCUAAGGUGGGACAGAUGAUUAGGGUGAAGUCGUAACAAGGUAGCCGUAGGAGAACCUGCGGCUGGAUCACCUCCUUU
rnacentral:rRNA from 1 species